rnacentral:rRNA from 1 species
AUCGAACGCUGGCGGCAGGCCUAACACAUGCAAGUCGAACGAGUGGCGGACGGGUGAGUAAUAUCUGGGAAACUGCCCGAUGGAGGGGGAUAACUACUGGAAACGGUAGCUAAUACCGCAUACCAUCGGAUGUGCCCAGAUGGGAUUAGCUAGUCGGUGGGGUAACGGCUCACCUAGGCGACGAUCCCUAGCUGGGCUGAGGGGAUGACCACCCACCUUGGACCUGAGACACGGUCCAGCCUCCUACGUGAGGCAGCAGUGGGGAAUAUUGCACAAUGGGCGCAAGCCUGAUGCAGCCAUGCCGCGUGUGUGAAGAAGGCCUUCGGGUUGUAAAGCACUUUCAGCGGGGAGGCGUUACCCGCAGAAGAAGCACCGGCUAACUCCGUGCCAGCAGCCGCGGUAAUAC